rnacentral:rRNA from 1 species
GUUACUGCUAUCGGAGUUCGAUUAAGCCAUGCGAGUCUAAAGGUUUCUUCGGAAACCUUGGCAGACUGCUCAGUAACACGUGGAUAACCUACCCUUGAGACUGGAAUAACCCCGGGAAACUGGGGAUAAUACCGGAUAGAUCAGGGAUGCUGGAAUGCACCUUGAUCCAAAGCUCCGGCGCUCAAGGAUGGGUCUGCGGCCUAUCAGGUAGUAGUGGGUGUAACGUACCUACUAGCCAACGACGGGUACGGGUUGUGAGAGCAAGAGCCCGGAGAUGGAUUCUGAGACACGAAUCCAGGCCCUACGGGGUGCAGCAGGCGCGAAGCCUUUACAAUGUGCGAAAGCAUGAUAAGGGAACUCCGAGUGCCAGUAUCUAAUACUGGCUGUCCUUGUGCCUAAAACGCACAAGAUAGCAAGGGCCGGGUAAGACCGGUGCCAGCCGCCGCGGUAACACCGGCGGCCCGAGUGGUAGCCGCUAUAUUGGGUCUAAAGGGUCCGUAGCCGGUUCGAUAAGUCCUCUGGGAAAUCUGGUUGCUUAACAAUCAGACUGCCAAGGGAUACUGUCGAACUUGAGACCGGGAGAGGUAAGAGGUACUUCAGGGGUAGGAGUGAAAUCAUGUAAUCCCUGGGGGACCAUCUGUGGCGAAGGCGUCUUACCAGAACGGGUCUGACGGUGAGGGACGAAAGCUGGGGGCGCAAACCGGAUUAGAUACCCGGGUAGUCCCAGCCGUAAACGAUGCUCGCUAUGUGUCAGGUACGGUGUGACCGUAUCCGGUGCCGUAGGGAAGCCGUGAAGCGAGCCACCUGGGAAGUACGGCCGCAAGGCUGAAACUUAAAGGAAUUGGCGGGGGAGCACUACAACGGGUGGAGCCUGCGGUUUAAUUGGAGUCAACGCCGGG